rnacentral:rRNA from 1 species
CCUACGGGAGGCAGCAGUGAGGAAUAUUGGUCAAUGGACGAGAGUCUGAACCAGCCAAGUAGCGUGAAGGAGGACUGCACUAUGGGUUGUAAACUUCUUUUAUAUGGGAAUAAAAUGUUCCACGUGUGGGAUUUUGUAUGUACCAUAUGAAUAAGGAUCGGCUAACUCCGUGCCAGCAGCCGCGGGAAUACGGAGGAUCCGAGCGUUAUCCGGAUUUAUGGGGUUUAAAGGGAGCGUAGGUGGAUUGUUAAGUCAGUGGUGAAAGUUUGCGGCUCAACCGUAAAAUUGCAGUUGAAACUGGCAGUCGUGAGUACAGUAGAGGUGUGCGGAAUGCGUGGUGUAGCGGUGAAAUGCUUAGAUAUCACGAAGAACUCCGAUUGCGAAGGCAGCUCACUGGACUGCAACUGACACUGAGGCUCGAAAGUGUGGGUAUCAAACAGGAUUAGAUACCCCAGUAGUC